UACGGGAGGCAGCAGUGGGGAAUAUUGCACAAUGGGCGCAAGCCUGAUGCAGCCAUGCCGCGUGUAUGAAGAAGGCCUUCGGGUUGUAAAGUACUUUCAGUCGUGAGGAAGGUGUUAAGGUUAAUAACCUUAGCAAUUGACGUUAGCGACAGAAGAAGCACCGGCUAACUCCGUGCCAGCAGCCGCGGUAAUACGGAGGGUGCGAGCGUUAAUCGGAAUUACUGGGCGUAAAGGGCACGCAGGCGGUUAAUUAAGUUGGAUGUGAAAUCCCCGGGCUUAACCUGGGAAUGGCAUUCAAGACUGGUUAGCUAGAGUCUUGUAGAGGGGGUGAAUUCCAUGUGUAGCGGUGAAAUGCGUAGAGAUGUGGAGGAAUACCGGUGGCGAAGGCGGCCCCUGGGACAAAGACUGACGCUCAUGUGCGAAAGCGU
rnacentral:rRNA from 1 species